rnacentral:lncRNA from 13 species
AAUCAGACGGUAUAAAUACGGCGCGAAAUCGGAAAACAGAUCCUCCUAUCGAGUCAGCAAUUGGUGAGAGUGCAACUCAGGGCAGCUUCCCAAGCUGUAGAUUGCUGAUAAGAUAACAGAUACUUAUGAAUUAGCCUUAGAGGCAAAAAAAGAAAUUGUGGCAACAUCAGAAUCUGAAUGUGAAUCAAGAAAAGGAAAAAGAAAAAUAAAAAGUAACAAAUAUGAGGAUUAUGUCAGUUAUCUUGGUCCUCCAAGAUUAGUUUUAUCAUGCAAGGAAUCAUCAAAUAUAACAG